rnacentral:rRNA from 1 species
UGAAAAAUUAAUAAAUGGCUGCGGUAUUUUGACCGUGCAAAGGUAGCAUAAUCAUUAGUCUUUUAAUUAAAGGCUGGAAUGAAUGGUUUGACGAAAAAUAAGCUGUCUUAAAAAAUAAAAUUGAAAUUUAAUUCUUAGUAAAAAUGCUAAGAUAUUAUUAAGGGACGAGAAGACCCUAUAGAGUUUAAAAUAGUAAUAAAUGAUUUUAUUUUGGAAUAUAAAUUAUUUGUUAUUAUUUUUUGUUGGGGUGACAAGAGAAAAAAAAUAACUUCUUUUUAAUAUUGACUUAAAUAAUAGGAAUAUUGAUAUGAUCUUUUUUUUAGAAAUUAUGAGAAAAAAUUACCUUAGGGAUAACAGCGUAAUUUUAUUUGAGAGUUCAAAUCGAUAAUAAAGUUUGCGACCUCGAUGUUGGAUUAAGAUUAUUAUUAGGUGAAGAAGUUUAAUAAAUAAGUCUGUUCGACUUUUAAAAUCUUACGUGAUCUGAGUUCA